rnacentral:rRNA from 1 species
AGAUUGAACGCUGGCGGCAGGCCUAACACAUGCAAGUCGAGCGGAUGAAGAGAGCUUGCUCUCUGAUUCAGCGGCGGACGGGUGAGUAAUGCCUAGGAAUCUGCCUGGUAGUGGGGGACAACGUUUCGAAAGGAACGCUAAUACCGCAUACGUCCUACGGGAGAAAGCAGGGGACCUUCGGGCCUUGCGCUAUCAGAUGAGCCUAGGUCGGAUUAGCUAGUUGGUGAGGUAAUGGCUCACCAAGGCGACGAUCCGUAACUGGUCUGAGAGGAUGAUCAGUCACACUGGAACUGAGACACGGUCCAGACUCCUACGGGAGGCAGCAGUGGGGAAUAUUGGACAAUGGGACGAAAGCCUGAUCCAGCCAUGCCGCGUGUGUGAAGAAGGUCUUCGGAUUAGUAAAGCUAACUUUAAGUUGGGAAGGAAGGCAAUUAACCUAAUACGUUAGUGUUUGACGUUACGAACAGAAUAAGCACCGCUAACUUCGUG